rnacentral:rRNA from 1 species
GAAUAUUAAAUGGCCGCGGUAUUUUUGACUGUGCAAAGGUAGCAUAAUCAUUAGAUUAUUAAUUGUAAUCUUGAAUGAAUGGUUGGACGAAAUAAUUACUGUCUCUAAAUAAUUCAUAUAAAUUGAAUUUUGAGUUAAAAUGCUUAAAUUUAAUUAUAGGACGAGAAGACCCUAUAGAUCUUUAUUUUAAAUAAGGUGAAAUUUAUUUGGUUAUUAUUUUAUUUAUUUUAUUUAAUUUUUUAUUGGGGUGAUAUUAGGAUAUUAUUAACUCUUUUUUUUAUAUUCAUGAAUGAUUGUUUAUAUGAUUUUUUAUUAUUACUUUAAGAUAUAGAUACCUUAGGGAUAACAGCGUAAUUUUUUUUGAAAGUUCUUAUUGACAAUAAAGAUUGCGACCUCGAUGUUGAAUUAAGAAUAUAAUUAGGUGUAGAUUUUUAGUUUUAUAGGUCUGUUCGACCUUUAAUUUCUUACAUGAUCUGAGUUCAAA